GUGUGUGUGUGUCCUCUUCUCUGUGGGAGUAGACACCUGAAGACACGCUACAGUAAAAUGUAAACAAUACAAAGGAGUUAUCAGGGUCACCAGUCUCAAAGUACAGGCUGAGGCGGUAGUAUAAUACUCCUACACUU